UACGUAGGGUGCGAGCGUUAAUCGGAAUUACUGGGCGUAAAGCGUGCGCAGGCGGUUAUUUAAGUCAGGUGUGAAAGCCCUGGGCUUAACCUAGGAAUUGCGCUUGAGACUGGAUAGCUUGGAGUGCGGCAGAGGGAGGUGGAAUUCCACGUGUAGCAGUGAAAUGCGUAGAGAUGUGGAGGAACACCGAUGGCGAAAGGCAGCCUCCUGGGCCAGCACUGACGCUCAUGCACGAAAGCGUGGGGAGCAAACAGG
rnacentral:rRNA from 1 species